UACGUAGGGUGCGAGCGUUAAUCGGAAUUACUGGGCGUAAAGCGUGCGCAGGCGGCGCGUUAAGACAGGUGUGAAAGCCCCCGAGCUUAACUUGGGAAUUGCGCUUGUGACUGCAUAGCUAGAGUCUGUCAGAGGGGGGGUGGAAUUCCACGUGUAGCAGUGAAAUGCGUAGAGAUGUGGAGGAACACCGAUGGCGAAGGCAGCCCCCCUGGGAUAAGACUGACGCUCAUGUACGAAAGCGUGGGGAGCAAACAGG
rnacentral:rRNA from 1 species